CGAAGGACCCAAGCGUUAUCCGGAUUUAUUGGGUUUAAAGGGUGCGUAGGCGGAUUAUUAAGUCAGUGGUGAAAGCCUGCAGCUUAACUGCAGAAUUGCCAUUGAUACUGAUGAUCUUGAGUAUGAUUGAGGUGGGCGGAAUGUGUCAUGUAGCGGUGAAAUGCUUAGAUAUGACACAGAACACCGAUUGCGAAGGCAGCUCACUAAGCCAUAACUGACGCUGAUGCACGAAAGCGUGGGGAGCAAACAGGAUUAGAUACCCUGGUAGUCCACGCCCUAAACGAUGAUCACUCGAUGUGUGCGAUACACUGUACGCGUCUGAGCGAAAGCAUUAAGUGAUCCACCUGGGGAGUACGACCGCAAGGUUG
rnacentral:rRNA from 1 species